rnacentral:rRNA from 1 species
GGGUCAGUAGGUUGGUCGUGCCACCGGUACGUACUGGUCUCACUGAUUCCUCCUUCCUGAAGAACCGUAAUGCCAUUAAUUUGGUGUUGCGGGGAAACAGGACUGUUACUUUGAAAGAAUUAGAGUGUUUAAAGCAAGCUAACGCUUGAAUACGUUAGCAUGGAAUAAUGAAAUAGGACGAUCGAUCCUAUUUUGUUGGUUUCUAGGAUUGACGUA